rnacentral:rRNA from 1 species
UACGGAGGGUGCAAGCGUUAUCCGGAUUCACUGGGUUUAAAGGGUGCGUAGGCGGAUUUGUAAGUCCGUGGUGAAAUCUCCGAGCUUAACUCGGAAACUGCCAUGGAUACUAUAAGUCUUGAAUGUUGUGGAGGUUUGCGGAAUAUGUCAUGUAGCGGUGAAAUGCUUAGAUAUGACAUAGAACACCGAUUGCGAAGGCAGCAGGCUACACAAAUAUUGACGCUGAGGCACGAAAGCGUGGGGAU